UACGGGGGGGCGAGCGUUGUCCGAAGUUCCUGGGCGUAAAGCGCGUGUAGGCGGGUUGUUAAGUCCGCUGUGAAAGCCCGGUGCUCAACGCCGGAGGGUCGGUGGAUACUGGCAGUCUUGAAGUGGCUAGGGGGAAAUGGAAUUACCGGUGUAGCGGUGAAAUGCGUAGAUAUCGGUAGGAACACCAGUGGCGAAGGCGGUUUCCUGGAGCUAACUUGACGCUGAGACGCGAAAGCUGGGGGAGCAAACGGG
rnacentral:rRNA from 1 species